rnacentral:misc_RNA from 1 species
GGCGCGUCGUGACGCGACCGCGGCGAAGCAGCUGAGUGUGUGCGCCUCGAACUCCGUUGUACUGUAUCAAGUUAACUGAAUUUGACACAGUGGUGAGGAACUGCGAUGAGGCUGACUGUGAGGCGUCUGGUGGUGGGUGUGGCUGUCAGUGCUGCCACCUGCGGCCUGCUGCUGCUGUGUGUCAGUAGAGGGAAGCCCGUGCAGGACACACACCGGCACCUGAUAGAGGCAGAAAUAGAGAACAUUCAGCGAAUAAGAAGAAUAGAGGAAGUAUGUUAUAAGCACAAUCUUGGCUUGUAUAAACACACAGAUGAUCCACCAAAAUUAAUACAUCCACCUGCUCCACAGUAUGGCGUAUUCUACAUUGACAGAAAACACAAUAUAUCAUGGUGUCCCUUAUAUAAAGCAGCAUCCACGACGUGGUUAUAUCACUUGUGCUUAUUGGCUGGAUAUUCAGAGGAGCAGAUAGUGAAAAGCCACAGGCAACUAAGUGAAAUUGCCAGAGAAGCUUACCCAGAGCUGGACUAUGAAGAUGCCGAAAAGGCAUUCUUGACAACACUAAAGUUAUUAGUUGUUCGUCAUCCAUUCUCAAGAAUUCUGUCUGCUUAUCGUGAUAAACUUGAGAAUAUGCAAAUUGGUGCUGAGCAUGGAACGAAACAUUACUACCUGAGCUACGGAAGACAAAUAGUAGCCCGUUACCGACACGGAGGAAACUCGACUAAAACUAUGAGACUACUGAAUCCAGGGCAGUACAUGAGAGAUGCUGCACUACCAGAGCCUGUUGGCAUUGAACCAACAUUUGAGGAAUUUGUAAGGUACCUCCUGGACACUGACCUUUCACAGCGGGCCGACGACCACUGGAUCCCCUACUACUUGUACUGCACUCCGUGCCUCCUGAAAUAUGACGUGGUGGCUAAAGUGGAGACACUGGUGCGUGACCAGGAGUUCGCCCUCCGCAGAGCAGGACUGUGGGGCCUCGUGAAGCCACAGUGGAGGCACAGAGCAGCUGUAGGGGGUGGGGCGGAGGCUGAGAGGAGGUACUUCUCACAGCUGACAAAGGUGCAAGUUGAAAGACUGUACGAGAAAUACUGGCUCGAUUUUGAACUGUUUGAUUACUCUCCAGAGAAGUAUGUCAGCUAUGCUAGAUCACAAUAACUGUUACAAGAAAGAAAUGCUCUCCCCAAUAUUUGAUGUUGCUGACUUUUUGCAAAAUGCAACCAGCAGCAACAAAAAUAAAACAUUCUGCCACAAAAUUUAGACUCUCUUUAAUUGUACGAGGUUAUUCACAAAUACCUCCCGAGUUUCAGAAAAGAACUGUGUGAAAGCUACAAAAAGUACAGAAAAUAGACACAAAUGAGUGUAUAGAGGAUCUCUCUGAGUUUUAACACACUUUACAAGGUGCUCAGUAGCAGCAUCAUUUCUGACACAGCAAAUGUCUAUAUGAUAAUCCAAAUAUUGGCAAAUGCAAUACAAAAUGACACAGUCAAUAUCUGUCUCUCCAUUAAUUAUUCUUCUUAGAAACUCUUCCAAAUUAAAUGCCAGUGGCAGCAAAGUCACACAAUAUUUGAAAUAACCCCAUAAAAAGAAAUCACAUGGAGUGAAGUCAGGUAAACAUCAUUGCUACUGAAGAAGAGGAGUCACAAUGGGAAACAUGCUCGAUCAGGUGCUGAAGCAUUUUGGCAUUAAGGUGAUCACACUUGUGUGUAAUGCAGCAGACAGUUGACUGUGGUACCUGCAGUUCCCUGCUUGCAUGUGUUGUUGACUUCUGCCACCUCCCAAUGAGUGACUUCUGCACACGCUCUGCCUUCUCUGCCGACGCUCCAUUAUAUACUGUAUUUGAUAUGCCUCCUGCUUAUUGCUGCCCUCUUCGACUAGGCCACAUUGGGAAGAGGAGGAGGAGAUUAGUGUUUAAUGUCCGAACAACAACGAGGUCAUUAGAGACAGAGCACAAGAUCGGAUUAGGGGGGGUGGAGAAGGAAUCGGCCACACUAUUUCGAAGGAACCAUCCAAACAUUUGCCUGAAGCAAUCCAGGGAAAUAACAGAUGACCUAAAUGAGGAUGGCCGGAUGCAGGUUUGAACCAUUGUCAUCCGAAUGAGAGUCCAGUGUGCUAACCACUGUAUCACCUCACUUGGUAUGCUACACUGAGUAUUAUGAAUUGAAACUUGGAGAGACACUGUAUCCAGGUAUGUGUGUCAUUAUUUUCUGAAUGUCAAGUAGUUUUUCCAUUGUCAUCUUCUGAAACCUGAAAGGUACUUAUAAAUAACCCUGUAUAAAUGCAUCCGUUGUUUAUUGGUGUGUACACUUCUCAGUACCAGCUAAUAACAUAAUGGCUAAACCAAAGAAAAACUUUACUGAAGGGGAAUGAUAUUCCACUUUUGAUUUUUUGAACUGAAACAAAUAAAGACUUACAUACAUACACCAGUAAAGAAAGAAUAUAAUUUAUUUUAAAACUGUAUCAUAUUGUUACUUUUUCCCUCAGUAGAUGUUGCAAUGAACAGUUUGACAAGUUAAGUGUAUGUGUCAGUGUUAGACUGAUACCCAAGAUCAAGUUUUUGUGGGGAAUAUGAUACCAUUUGAGCACACUUCACAGGCUGGCCCCAAGCUUCUACAACCAGAGGCUUCUACAGAUUCCUUUUAAACUCCAUAUAAGUUUUACACAAACAUAAAAGACUAACACCCUUAUGAUGAAGGUACAGGAGAGUCUUUGACUUAAUUGUAACAAAGGAAAUUUCAAGUGAGAAAGCUAAUAAAUUAUGAGAUAGAACUGCUGCUCAGUUCUUAGCUUCAUGCAGCAAAAUGCAUAGUAUUGCUGAUAAACACAUACAUAAAAGUAUAGCUUUCAGAACUGACAGACAAUAUUAGUUCCAAAAGUUAGGGGGUGUCUCACUUGUACUUCUGUGUGUGUCUACCAGCAGUUCUGCACAUUUCACCUCAUGAAGGUGACUAAUGACCUGCAAUUCUGUCUCAGAAUUUAAGAGACUGAUUUUAUAACAUCCUCAGUGACAUUCCUAAGAUGACAUAGUUUUACUGGUUAGUAGAGUAAUGAAAAGUUAUAACAAGCCAAGGUAUGGAGAGAACUAACAGUGAGGCAGUGAGUGAAUCGGUUCAUGAGGUGCGCUCAGGGCUCUGGGUGUGAGCCUCAUGUGGCACACCUUUCUUUGAUUGUUACAAAUGUUCAAGGACUUUAGAACUUUUUGAAGAGAUUAUUUAAAAAGAAGCAUUGCAAUACAGUGUUAUUCAUGAGUACGUCUGCAGUUUUAGAAAACAAUUACUGGAGGACUACAAGACAUACACAAAACAGAAACAUUCCAAUGGAUCCAGCACAUCCCCAAGUUUUAAUUCAUAUUACAGACACUCAACAUAUGCACCAUUUGUGAUGCAGCAAAGAUCAAUAUGUGCGUACAAUUAAUUGAACUGUCUGCCACUGCCUGGGAAGACACAAUGACAGUGGCCCAUUUUAGGAAAUCUGUCCAUUGUGUUGCCUCUGAGCAGGUGCCACUAGUUCAGUAUGACAAUAUUUGCCUGCAUGUCCUGACAUGCCUGCCCUCUAGAGGUGCAACUGUACCACAGCAUCUGUUAUGUAUGAAGCUCGGAGAGAUGCUCUGUCCAAUGAUGGGUGCCAUUUUUUCCAUGUCGUGUAGCUUUUGCACAUUCAUCUUCUGAAAUCCUGAAGGUUGUUAUGAAUAACACUAUAUCAAUAACAAGAUGUUUGUUGCAAAGAAGAAGCAAUGAAUAAUGAUAGAUAAGGGAAGUAAAAUAAAAAAAAAGAAGUUUAGGAAAAAGAGGAAGAAAUAAAUUUUCAGAUAAAGAAAAGAACAGCAGAAUGGAAAACAAAACUGAAGCAGUUAAAGUUCUGGAAAUUGUUUCACUAUAAAAUAUAGUAGAACAAUGUCACAAUACUGAGGGACGAGAGGAAGAUGCCAGACAUACUAGAAAAUACAGGAGAACUGAAGAAAGUGUUUAGCUAUUCAUUAGCAUCCUAGAAAGAAUAUGUAGGAAAGAGCUGGUAGAAUGUAAAUAAUUUUGGGAGUAAAGGAGAUCACUUACUGAAUAGCAGUAGCAUGGGGUCUUUCACAGGCAUACAUAAAAGAGAAAAAAACUACUAUUUUUCAGAAUCAAUCAUAAACCAGAAUACACACACACACACACACACACACACACACAUACACACACACACACACAGUACCACCUGGGCACACAGUGUGCAUCUAACCAUCACUACAU